rnacentral:lncRNA from 1 species
CCCAAGCCUAUAUUACAAGCCAUUCAUAGUCCUGUAGUGAUCAUAAUCCAACUAUCUGAAAAGCUAAGGCAUAAAAAAUAAGGGCAUGACUAUGGUAUUUCACGCACACUGCUUGAACGUCUUUUCAAGAAUGAGUUAUUUUAUUUAGUUCAUAUGUUGAUAUUCAUUGUUAUAAUCUAAGUGUAUGGGACUUUUUUGUUGUGAAAGUACAAGGGUUGCAUUGUUAAGUGUUUCUUUGGAUAAUGUUAUUUAUGUAUGUGCUUGGUUGUUUAUACAUAAUCUGAUGCCGCCACUGAACCUUUUUACAUCAUGGUAAUGUGUUGCAUAUAUAUGCACAGUGGGUUUGGAUUUUUGUUUAGGAAGGGGAUGAAGUUUUGUGCUAAAAAUUAUGAAUUGACUGCCAUAAGAAUUGUAGUUUUCUCUAAAUUAAGCAUUAUAUGUGUCUAGUUUGUUUUAUUUACCCGAGGACAUGUAAAUAGUCUAAAUUAAGGGUGUUGAUGUGUUAUAGAUUUGUGACACUUCAGAUGCUUAAAAUAAGUUUAUUUGGAAAAUCAUAGGUAUUUAUAUAUAGAUAUGUUGUGUUUGGUGUAGUUUUGUAGGAAAACAGGAUUGGGCGUGAUUGUAAUGGAAAACAAGAAUACACAUAAGUAUCAAAAAAUCACAAAAAGAAAUGAGUUGAUGGGUAAUAAUAUAACUCAUUUCCUUAGUUGUUAUCAGUACAAUAGAGUCUAGGAUAUUUAGAGAAGGGGUGACUACAUGCAUGGGACAACCCAUUAGGAUGGCCAAUGAAUUGUAGAAAAUAUUUUUUCUAAGAAAUAUGCUAAGGUCUUGAAGAUAUCAAGUUGAUGCUAGUGGUGAUAAUGGUAGCCUAUAACUCGUAGUGCUACAUGAUGAUUCAUAGCCUAGAAGCCAUUGGAAGGACAAAACACUUAAAACCAUAGAGAAGUUGAAGGAAAGGCAGGUUACAAGAGGACGCUACAGGUUGUCAUGUCUCUUGAUGAGUUUUCUUGAGUAGCCAUAUUUUACAGCUAAGGAAAAUUACUGACAACAUAUGAAAGGGCAUACUAGAGAUGUGUUAGCCAAUAAUUUUUACAAUCACGUGAUGAGUCAUUGCUAGUAGAGGAAGGAACAUACCCUGACAAGGAAGAAAGACUGACAAUGAGUGAUAGCCAGUCCAUACAACUCAUCUUCAAGGACCUAAUCACUACCCACUUUGUAAUUCUAUUUUGUUUUGAGAGGUUUCAUUGUGUCUACAAAUACUCUUAUUUUAUUUCUUUUUUAAGGUUACAUAAUUAAUACAUUCAUAAUAUCAUAUAGUAUAACUCUAAGACAUAUAGAUGGAAUUGUAUAAAUAUCAUUUCUAGGUUUUUCAUUAAAUUUGAGAUUUUGGAGUUUAAUAACUCGAGUAAGUAAGAAAUUAUGUUUUUAUCUAUGAAUUCUUGUUGUGUGCUUACAAUCAUGAGUAGCUAAACACCAUAAAUAGGAUUGUGGGAACCUUGAUUAAAUAACAACACGGGUUAAGUGCAAAGUCAUUCUAGACGGGUGUGCUUAUAGGCAUUUCUAUUUCCUUCAUAUUAAUCGUUUAAUAAUGGUUGGAAAAGUUAGGAACUCACAUUUAAUAUAGACUUACUCUAUUGAGUAGUGUAGAUAGGGAAAAACAGAUAAGAAUAGAGAUUUAAAGAUACCAAUCUUUAUUUGAUUAACUUAAGACUUAACUGAGAUAGUUAAUCUGAGAUCACUGAACAAGGUUUAGUAUACGAUGCUCUAAGUUUGAGUGGAGCUGAGUGAAAUUCAUUUAACCAAUAUUAAGAGAUGAUUAUAUGAUACAGAUUUUGUUAGUUUUUUCAUAAAAGGCAUUGGGAUAGUCUGCUAGCAUGAUGAAACACACUGGUUUUUGGCCCUUAGAAAUUUACUAAGCAUUGAGCUCAUGUGGGUAUGGGUUGGGUGACCUAACUCAUAAGGUUUUUAGUGAGUGAUGGUUAGGUUUUUAUUGUGGUUACGACUUGGUGGGUAUGGGUCAUAUGGUUUGGUGACAAGUUAUUAGGUUGAUCCUUACUUAAUUUGAAACUUUGUAACUUAACUUGGCUCUGAGUAUGAAUGGCUCACUAAGAGUCAUGAGGAUGGGGUAUAAGUGGUAUAAUCUAGUCAUAUGUCGUCCAGUGUUAACCCCUUUGUAUUGUGUCUUUGGUUUGACUGGACCAUAUGAGUCAUAUGGUCUGGUCACGAGUUGGGGAAAUGAGUCUUAUGGUGUACAGUGUGUAGGUGUCUAACCUUCAGUUCUAGUUAUGAUUGGAUGGUACUAAUCGUAUGUUGAGGUGACUAGUUGGGUGGUCAACUUGUACCUACCUACAGUGAUUUUAUGAUUUUAAGUUGGGGGUAUUCUAGAAAUUUCCCCUAAUAACUCCUUUUGAUCCCAAUACAUAAAAUACCUUUUGGGACUUCAUUAACCUAUUAUUCUCAAUCAAACACUCUUAAAAGUCUCUUAAAAUCUCUCUCAAGCUCUUAGCUCAAGAAAAGGAUAGGGUUUCUACAAGGCAAUCAAUUAGGGGAUUUCAAGAGUGAUUCUCUUUAUCUUUUUUAGUGUCUAAAGAAUGUUACUCCUUCCUCAUUGUUAGUUAAAGUAAAAGCAUGUUUUAAUGAAUGGUUUUGAUGGUAUUAUUGUGGUAUUAUUUUUUUUUUUUUGAAAUAGAUGUUGGGGGUUUAGGUUUUUUAUGGUUGGAUAAUGUUUUCUCAUGUUUUACUUGUGGUUUAUCAUGUUAUAAUUAUUGUUUGAACAUGAAGUUUCAUGGGAAUGAUUGAUACUUAUUUUCCAUUCUGGAAACUCUACGCCCAUAACAUGUUUGUUAAAAUGCCAUGAAAAUAAUUUUGUCACAUAGUUUGACUAUUCUUUGAACCUUUGUAUUACAUAGUAUGGUAAUGGAACUUAAAAUGGUUUGGAUGGUUUUAAAAGGAUUGUAAAGGCAUUGUUGGCCAUGGGGUUGGUUUAAUUAGAAACUUUAGAGUCAAAUUGGUUUUAUGGCUUUGGUAUGGCUUAAAUAGAAAGACUUGCAAGCUCUAAUUUUGGUAUGAUGAUACCAAUGGUUAAUGCAUAAUUAAAAACACUCCUUGGUAAAUGGUUUUUUAUGUGUAAAUGGUUUUAAUUUGUGCUUAAAGUAGUAUGUAUCAGCAAAGCCAUAGAAGGUGGAGGUCCUGAGGGGACAAAAACUGGAAACUCAUGUUUUCCCAUGUGAGGUAUCGUCUUGAUGAUCGUGUACAUUAUGUCAAACUUAUAUUUUUGGAGAUGUACCUAUCAUCUCAGGUUUUUCUCCAGUUCAUGCAGCUAACACACACAAAGGUCUUUUCUAUAAGGGAAGCUGAACACAUAUAGCCCAUGGGUGGAUUUAGGAUAGCAAAGCUACACAGCCCAAGUUAAAGGUUUUAAAUAAAUGCUAAACCUGGUUCCCUUUCCUGGCAUAGUAUAUAUAUAGAUAUAGAUGUGCGUGUGUGUAUGUAUAUAUAUGUAUAUAUGAUUGUAUAUGAUUAUUUACUUUGGUUUUGAAUAAUGACAUUAUUUUAUCCAAAUUUCUAAGUAUAUGCUAGCAUUCAUUUCACUAACCGUCUUUAAGUUUUAUAUUCCCACACGAUGCAGAUAUCGACUGUACUACUAUUCCUCCUACUCAGUGACGUAGAUUUAGGGACAACUUUGAGUCAUACUAAAGUAGUGAGCUUCCAUACUCUAGAAGGCUCCAUUUAAUGCUAUAGACUUUUUUAUUUUUUUAUUUCUUUUGUUGGUUGUCUAUGGCCGAGGGCAUUUCCCAAUUGGAUGUUAUUUCUGGUUAGAGGCUUUAUGGGACUACUAUAGACAUAGGCAGUGUUGGUAUUGGUGUUAGCCUUGGUAUUGGAAUUGGAAUUAAGGUUGGCAGCGGUUGAAUAUUUAGUUGAGGUUGUUAAUUAUGAUCAUGGACUUUAUUUAAUAUCUUUUAGUUAUUAUUGUUCUAUUUUGUUAUAUGUUUAAACUUUAUCCAACAUAUGGUGAAGGGCGGUUAUCAUUGGGUAUUAGGGGUAGUCUCUGGUCCUAAGUAGACUUGGGACACCCAGCAUAACUAGGCCCUGGUAUGAGUUAUGUUAGAUUGGUAUUAGAGCCCAAGGUUCAUGGCUAAUUGGGAAUCCACAAAGCCAUCUCAAAUAGAGUCUCUUUUAAGGGUGUGAAGCACACUACACUCAUAAGGGAAAGGCUACGAGACAUUUAGUAAUGUUUGUCUUUCUUAUGUUCUAUUUUUAAUAUGUAGAGUCUAAGGUCCUAAAAUCUUCUCCAAUUCCCAUUUGUUCACUUCUCAGUUCAUGCCUCCUCAAUGAUUUGAAGCUCAUAGAAACUCUUUUAUCCCUCCUAAGGGUAAUGUUGAUGAACAUGUUCUACUUAUGGGAUCCAUAAUUGAUCUAGACAUCAAGUUCGUGAUGGUCCUAGAGUUCAACCAGUUCCCUUCAGUCUUUCUCUAGCUUCUUCAGAUGAUAUGAUGAAUGUUGAGUUUUGUCAUUAUAUUCAUAUAUUAGCAUAGUUGGUAGCUUCUAAGGUAGAGUGUGGUACUUCUGUUACUCAUCUUUCGAGUCCAUAAGGGUGGGAUAGUUUAUGAGGUUGAACCCUUUGACCUUUACUGGUGUUACGGUUGAGGAGAAUCCUUAAGGUUUUUGGGAUGAUAUGGAAAAGAUCUUUCAUAUUAUGCAUGCCACAAAUGUAGAGGCCAUGGAGUUUGCUUCCUACCAACUGAAAGAUAUGGCAUACCAGUGGCACGAGAAUGGGAUCAGUCAAGGGAUGAUGAUGUUGAGUCAGCUCUAUAGAAGGAUUUCUCUUAUGCUUUCCUGGACUGCUUAUUUUCAUAAGAUCUCAGGAAAGCAAUGAAAAAAGGGUUCGAUAAUCUGAGGCAAGGUAAGAUGUCAGUGAAGGAGUAUGCCUUGAAGUUUCUCCAGUUAUCUUGGUAUGAUCAAGAGUUAGUUUCUAGCAUGAGGGCUAGAAUGAGGAUGUUUUCUUCUGGUUUAUCUAAAGAUGUCAUUUUUUGGAGUAAGGCUAAGUUGUUGAAUAAGGACAUAGAUAUCUCUAGGUUGGUUGUGUGCUGAAGUAGGUAGAGAAAGAGAAAAAAAAGUAGGCUAAGAUAGGGAAGAAGUGGAGAAAGAACUUUUGAUUUUCUAAUUAGGGUAGUGGCUAAUAGUGGAGUGGUUGGGAGGGUGUGAAGUGUUUGAAAUAGAAGUUGAGUAAUCUAGGGUCUUACACAACGGCUAGUUCUCCCUAUCCAAAGCCAUCAGGUGAUAGGCAUUUCCAAGAUGGUGGCAACUUCAGGGCACAAGUUUCCCAAUCUCAAGCUAAUGGGUCAAAGUCAGCUCUAUUGUAUCCUCCUUGUGGGUUUUUUAGUAGAUUGCAUCGAGGUUACUUUGAAGAAGAAAGGGAUAAGUGCUUCAGUUGUGGUCAGCUAGGGCACAUAAUUAGAAACUUUCUAGUAGCCAAGGUUUCUUUGAGAGAGAACAAGGUUCUAGUUGCCUCUUCUUUAUCUCCAACACCAAAGGGUGCAUUAUCUAGUUUCAGAACUAAUUGGAAUCAUCUCUAUGCUCUUACUACUCACUUGGAAUUUGAGGUAUCUUCUGAUAUCAUGACUGGUAUUUUGAAACUCUUUUCUUAUGAUGUAUACUAUUUACUUGAUCUGGGGUCGACUCUCUCUUAUGUGACCCUAUUUGUGGAUGUGCAUAUUGGUUUUGGUCUGGAGUGUCUUUUAGACCCUUUUGUUAUUUCUACCCUGGUAGGUGACUUUAUGAUUAUUAGAAGAGUCUAUAGGAGAUGUGUGGUACCUAUAGAUGGUCGGGAGACUCUGUUUGUAUUAGAAAUAGUGGAUUUUGAUGUCAUAAUAGGGAUGGAUUUGUUGCAGUAGUACUAUGCUUCUCUAGAUUGUCAAACCCAUAAGGUUGUUAUUAAAUUCCCUAAUGAGCUAGUUAUUGAGUUGGAGGGUGGUUUCCUAGAUCCUAUAGGGAAUUUCAUAUCAUAUCUUAAGUUUCAGAGAUUAAUCUCCAAAAGGUGUCUCUAUCAUCUAGUUUGGGUUAAAGAUUCUAACUAGGAGGGUCCUUUUUUGUAUUUUGUCCUGAUGGUGAAUGAAUUUUUUUAGGCUUUCCCCGAUGUCCUUCAUGGUGCCCCUCUUGUUAAAAAGAUUGAAUUUGGGAUUUAUAUUUUCUUAGAAACUUGUCCAAUCUCAAUUCCCCCAUAUAGAAUUGCUCCAGCUGAGUUGAAGGAGCUAAAGUAGCAACUCAAGGAUCUUUUAGACAAGGGUUUCAGCCAUUCUAGUGUGUCCUCAUAGGGUGCACCUAUGUUAUUUAUAUGUAAAAAGAAGAUUCCCUUAAGAUGGGUAUUGAUUACUAGCAGUUGAAUAAGGUGACGACAAGGAUAGAUGAUUUGUUUGAUCAGCUGCACAGUGCUAAAUUUCUCUCCAAGAUUGAUCUUCGAUCCAAGUAUCAUCAGUUAAAUAUUAGGGAGGAAAAUAUCCUUAAGACAUCCUUUCAUACUUGGUAUGGGCAUUUUAAGUUCUUGGUUAAGUCUUUUAGGUUUAUAAAUGCCCGACGACAUUCAUAGAUUUGAUGAAUAAGGUCUUUCAUAAAUAUUUGGAUUUAUAUGUUAUUGUUUUAUAGAUGUCAUUCUAGUGUAUUCUAAGAGCUAAGUGGAUCAUGUUGAUCAUCUCUACCUUGUAUUGCAGACCCUAAAGGAGAAAUAGUUAUAUGCAAAAUUUUCAAAAUAUGAAUUGUUUUUUAAUGUUGUCACUUUUUUGGAACAUGUCAUUUAUAGUAAAGGCAUCAUGGUGGAUCCACAGAAAGUGGCAGAUGGUGAAGAAGUAGCCUAGACCCACGAAUCUAAUCGAUAUUCAAAGCUUCUUGGGUUUAGCUGGUUACUAUAAGAGGUUUGUAGAGAGUUUUUCUUCUAUAGCUACCCCAUUGACUAAGUUGACUCAAAAAAAGGUAAACUUUUAGUGGUUGAUACUUGUGAGAGUAGUUUUGAAAAGCCGAACAAUAAUAUAAAUUUGGCUCCAGUCUUGACUUUUCAUAAAGGCACAAAUGGAUUUAUAGUAUAUUAUGAUGCAUCUCGUGUGAGGCUUGGCUGCGUCUUGAUGCAACAUGGCAAGGUGGUAGCUUAUGUCUUUAGAAAUUUAAAGGUGCAUAAGAAGAAUUAUCCAACCCAUGACUUGGAAUUAUUAGUUGUCGUAUUCACAUUGAAAACCAGGCAUCACUAUUUGUACAAAAUGAUUAUGGAUAUCUUUUCUGAUCAUAAGAGCCUGUAUUAUGUGUUUACUCAGAAAAAGAUUAACCUCAGAAAAAGAAGAUGGCUUGAGUUUCUCAAGGACUAUGACAUAAGUCUUCACUACCACCCGAGAAUAGCUAAUAGGGUUGUUGAUACUCCUAGAAGGUUAUCCAUGGGGAAUUUUGCUCAUAUAAAUAAGAAGAAGAAGGAGUUGGUGAAAGAUAUUCACCAUUUAGCUAACCUUUGAGUUCGCCACUUAGAUUCUGAGGAGGGUGGCGUAUUUGUACAAAAGAUGGCUUAGUUGUUUCUUGGUGAUAAAAUCAAUGAGAAACAAAUAUUAGAUUCUGUCUUGAUAAGGAUUAAUGGUGAUGUAGGUGGGAAAAAGUGAUGGCCUUCGAGAGUUUGUGACAGAGGAUCUUGGCUGUGGCACAUGAGUCAUGCUAUGUUGUUCAUCCUGGUUCAAAAAAAUGGAUUAUAACCUUAAGGAUGUGUAUUGGUUGAACAAUAUAAAGCAGGAUACAGCUAGUUUUGUGUCUAAUAGCAUGGUCUGCCAGCAAGUGAAAGUUGAGCACAUGAGGCCCGAAGGAUUGUAUCAAGAGAUUGAGUUACUUUUAUGGAAGUAGGAAGUAUUUAAUGUGGAUUUCAUUAUUGAUCUUCCUCGGUCCCGAAAUUAGUUUGAUUCAGUUUGGGUUAUCGUGGAUAGGAUGACAAAGUGUGCUCACUUUUUAUCGGUGAGGACAAAAUUUCUCGGCUGAGGAUUAUGUGAAGUUGUAUCGCAUAAGAUUGUGAAGUUGCAUGGAGUACUUGUAUGUAUCAUCUUUGAUUGCGGUACACAAUUUUAAUCUCACUUUUAGAGGUCAUUUUAGAAAGGUUUUGGGACCAAAGUGAGUCUUACUACUGCUUUUCACCCUCAGUCGAUGGGAAAGCUGAAAGGACUAUUCAGACAUUAGAGGAUAUGCUUCGAGCUUGCGUGAGUGACUAUGGUGUAAUUGGAUUGAGCAUUUUUCUCUUAUAGAGUUUUCCUAUAAUAAUAGCUACCACUCUAGCAUCGGUAUGGCUUUUUAUGGUAGGAGGUGUAAUCUCCUACUGGAUGGUUUGAGGUUAGUAAAGCGGAGUUGUUUAGCCUAUAUUUUGUUCACCAAGCCAUAGAGAAGGUGAAGGUUAUUCGGUAUUUAAUUAAUGUUUCUCAAAGUUGCCAAGAGUCCUAUACGUAUUGAGGCAUAGGAAGUUGGAGUUUGAGGUUGGGGAUAGGAUAUUCUUGAAGGUAUCUCCCAUGAAGGGAGUAAUGUAAUUUGGUAAGAAGGGGCUCAGUCCCCGGUAUAUUAGUCUGUACUUAGUUCUGAGAAGGUUUGGUAAAAUUGUGUAUGAGUUGGUGUAGACUUCUAGUUUAAGCCUAUUCACCCAGUGUUCCAUGUCUCUAUGUUGAGGAAGUGUAUGGGUGAUCCUUCGCAAAUUGUGCUUAUCAAGGAUAUUGGCAUUUUAGAUUACCUGUAUUAUGAGGAGAUCCCAAUUGAGAUCUUGGAUAGGCAGAUUCGUCGAUUGUGGACCAAGGACAUAGGCUUAGUAAAGGUUCUAUGGAGGGACCACAAAGUAGAAGAGGCUACUUUGGGAAGCUGAAGAGGACAUGAAGUCCAAGUAUCCAUUCCUGUUUGUCGCAUCAAAAAUAUAUCUAAAAGUUAUGUGUCCUUCUUAACAUCUUUAUUUUCUAACUUAGUUCACGAAAAUAUUGAAUUUCUUUUAUUUUUGUUUUCUAACUUGGUUAAAGAUAAGAGUUGAGGCAUGUGGAUUCCAAAUCUUACUUUCACCACCCUUUUCCAUCAUUCGAGGCCAAAUGAUCCUAGUGGGGGGAAAUUAAAACACCUUGGUUUGUGGCCUUUGGAAGUUUUCUAAGCUAUGGCCUUACUAGUCUUGUAAUGACUCAUCAUAGGAGUCAUACGGUGUGGGUACGGUCAGGUGAACGAACUCAUAAGGUAUCCAGUAAGUGAUUGUUAGGUUUCUGUUGUGGUUAGAACUUGGUGGGUAUGGGUCGUAUUGUUUUGUGAUAGGUCAUUGGGUUUAUCCUUCACAUAAUCUAAAACUUUGUAACUUGACUUGGCUCUGAGUAUGAAAGUCUCUCUAAGAUUCAUAAGGAUAGGGUACAAGUGGUAUAGUCUAGUCAUAUGUUGUCCAGUGUCAACCCCUUUGUAUUAUCUUUUGGGUACAAUUGGACUAUACGUGUCGUAUGGUCUGGUCAUGAGUUGGGGAAUUGGAGUCUUAUGGUGGACAAUGUAUGGGUGUCUAACCUUUUGUUCUGGUUACGACUAGAUGGUACUAGUCAUAUGUUGUGGUGACUAGUUGGGGCAUCAACUCGCAUGCACCUGCGAUGAUUUUACAAUUUCAAGUUGGUGGUAUUCAGGACAUUUCUCUUAAUAACUCCUUUUGACCCCAAGACAUAUAACACCUUUUGGGACUCCAUUAACCUAUUAUUCUCAAUCAAACACUCUUAAAAAUCUCUUGAAAUCACUCUCAAGCUCUUGGUUCAAGAAAAGGAUAGGGUUUCAACAUGGUAAUCAUUUAGGGGUUUCAAGAGUGAUUCUAUUUGCCUUCCUUGGUGUCUAAGGCAUGUUACUCCUCCCUCAUAGUUAGUUCAACUAAAAGCAUGUUUUAAUGAAUAUUUUUUAUUGUAUUAAUGUGGUAUUAUUUUAUUUUUUUAUAGAUGUUAUGGGUUUUGGUUUUUUAUGGUUGGAUAAUGUUUUCUCAUCCUUUACUUAUGAUUUAUCAUGUUACAAUUAUAGUUUGAAGAUUUGGUUUCAUGGGAAUGGUUAAUUGAAACUUGGUUUUGGUUUUGGAAACUAUAUUCCCUCAACAUGUUUGCUAAAAUGGCAAUGAGAAUGAUUUUGUCACAUAGUUUGACUAUUGUUGAAACCUUUGCAUUACAUAAUAUGGGAAUGGAACUUAAAUUGGUUUGGAUGGCUUUAAAUUUAUUGGAAAGGCCUUGGUUUCCAUGGUAUUGUUUUAAUUAGAAACAUUAGGGUCGAAUUGGUUUAAUGGAUUUUGUAUAACAUAAAUGGAUAGACUUCCAAGCUCUAAUUUUUGUAUGAUCGUACCAAUGGUUAAUGCCUAAUUAUAAAGACUCCUUGGUAAAUGGUUGGUUAUAUGUGAAGAGUUUUAAUAUGGGGUUAAAGAGGGGUGUGUCAGUAAAGUCGUGGAAGGUGGAGGUCCCGCAGCUGGAAACUCAUCUUUGCCGAUGUGAUUUUUGGUGUUAGGGACCGUGUGCAUUAUGUCACACUUAUAUUUUUGGAGAUGUACUAGUCAUCUGCAAUUUUUUUCAGUUCGUGCGGCUAACACACAUCGGGCCCUUUCAGCAGGGGGAGUUGAAGCUAUAUAGCCCAUGGGUGGAUUUAGGAUGGCAAAACUACACAAUCCAGGUUAAUGGAUAUAAAUGCAUGCUAAACUCGGUUCCUUGCUUGACAUGGUAUAUAUAUAUGUAUCUAUGUGAUUGCAUAUGAUCAUUUACUUUGGUUUUGAAUAAAGGAAUUAUUUUAUCUUUAUUCCUGAGUACAUAUUAGCGUCUAUUCCUCUAAUCAUCUUUGGGAUUUGUAUCCCUGUGCUAUGUAGGAACCACCCACACUACCAUUCCUCCUGCUUAGUGACUUGGAUUUGGGGACAGCUUCGAUUCAGACUAAAGUGGUGAUCUUCCAUACUCUGAAAGGCUCCAUUUUAUGCCAUGGACUUCUUUUAUUUUUGUUAUUUCUUUGGUUUAGUUUUGGCUAUGGUCCAGGGCAUGUCCCAAAUGGAUGUUAUUGAUUCUAGCUAGAGGCUUUGUGGGACUACUAUGAUCAUGGUCAGUGUUGGUAAUAGUGUCAGCGUUGGUAUUGGUAUUGGCAUUAGGGUUGGCACCUAUUGAAUAUUCGAUUGAGGUUGUUGGAUUAUGAUCAUAGACUUUAUUUAUUGUCUUUGAG